AUCCGAGCCUCGACUGCCGAGCAUCUGCUGUAAUCCACUGUUCCCGCCGCGCGGUGCGUCAGUGCGGGCAGCGGAGCGCGAUGCGGGGAGUGUGUGGCGCACGCGUGUGUGAUAUGACGCGACGGAUGAGCGGCACGGCAGAUUAGAGCGCGUUAGAGAGCGCAGCCGCUCCGCUGAUCCGUGCUAACGGUGUGUGUUCCUCCGCAGGGCCGCGUCAGGACCAAGACGGUGAAGAAGGCCGCUCGGGUCAUCAUUGAGAAGUACUACACCCGGCUGGGCAGUGACUUCCACACCAACAAGCGCGUGUGUGAGGAGAUCGCCAUCAUCCCCAGCAAGAAGC